AUUGAACGCUGGCGGCAUGCCUUACACAUGCAAGUCGAACGGUAACAGGUCUUCGGAUGCUGACGAGUGGCGAACGGGUGAGUAAUACAUCGGAACGUGCCUAGUAGUGGGGGAUAACUACUCGAAAGAGUGGCUAAUACCGCAUGAGAUCUACGGAUGAAAGCAGGGGAUCGCAAGACCUUGUGCUACUAGAGCGGCCGAUGGCAGAUUAGGUAGUUGGUGGGAUAAAAGCUUACCAAGCCGACUAUCUGUAGCUGGUCUGAGAGGACGAUCAGCCACACUGGGACUGAGACACGGCCCAGACUCCUACGGGAGGAAGCAGUGGGGAAUUUUGGACAAUGGGCGCAAGCCUGAUCCAGCAAUGCCGCGUGCAGGAUGAAGGCCUUCGGGUUGUAAACUGCUUUUGUACGGAACGAAAAGCCCCGGGUUAAUACCCUGGGGUCACGACGGUACCGUAAGAAUAAGCACCGGCUAACUACGUGCCAGCCGCCGCCGUAA
rnacentral:rRNA from 1 species